rfam:Dipodomys ordii contig_39457, whole genome shotgun sequence.
GGGAAUGUGGCUUAGUGGUAAAGUGCUUGCCUAGCAUGCAUGAAGCCCUGGGUUCAAUUCCUCAGUACCA